rnacentral:rRNA from 1 species
ACAUACCACCAUAGGAGGUGGAGAACAGGGCUUCCCGUCAGAUCAACAAUCACUUAAGCCACCUGCCGGCGUGUUAGUAGUCGAGUCGGUGACGAUCGUCGAAGCCGCGCUGUUGUAUGUU